UUUCAUAAAUAAUAUUAAACAUUAAUAGUGUUCUAAUCUAGCUUAUUAUGCAUUUCAUUUUCUAAGAAAAACUUUAUUACACUUCCAUUAUUAAAAAAGCAGACCAAAAGCUCUGUUUUUCUAAGAUAAAUUAGGUUAAAAUCUAAAACUAAAAAGAAUAAUGGGGAGAUAAAAAAAGAGUAAUUAACACUGUUAAAAAUAUAGCACAUUUUUAUUACUCUACAUAGAAUGUACCUUGAUAUAUACCUACCUUACUCCUACCUCUUUUUUUUUUUUUUUUUAAAGAAAAAUAGUAGUUGUUUUUCCUACAUUUCCCUAACCUCAUGUAUCAAACAAGGAAAAUAUAAAAAGAUAAGUUAAAUCCAUCAAACUAGGGGUGGGUGGGACUUCAAUGACUUUGUAUUGGGUGAAUACUUAGUGCAUAUGUAGAUUCAUCGUGUUACCAUGAUUUUGUCAAAUUUAUUGCAACGUAACACUCUAGAUUUUGAAUUAAGACAUUAAAUAUACAAAUGAGUGCAUCUACAAUAACACCACAAUUGUACUAUGGAUGAGACAUUAAAAAUACAAUGUUACCAUUUUAUAUGUUCACCUAAAAAAAAUUAUGGGUGUGAUUAAUUAUAAUGGGAAUGUUACCAUUUUUUUUUGAAGGAUGGAUGGAAAUGUUACCAUGAUUUUGUCAAAUUCACUCUAUACAUACAAUGAGUGUCUAGAAGUUAGCAUUUUUUAUUUUUUUUGAGAGAAAGAAGUUAGAAUUUUUCUUGUGAAGAAAACCUAGAAAAUUACUAAUGUGAUAUUUGGUGCAGGUGAACUAUGUAAAUCCUACAGCUCCACCAAGUCCUAUAGUAACACCACCUUCUCCAGUGAAGGCACCACCAACACCACCUUUAGUUAAAUCACCACCUAUUGUGAAAGCACCUUCUCCACCAUUGGUGAAAACACCACCAUAUCAAUCACCACCAGUGAAACCAACACCACCUAUUGUGAAAUCACCUCCUUCUCCACCAUUGGUAAAAUCACCACCUUAUCAAUCACCACCUAUUGUUAAGGCACCUUCUCCCCCUCUAGUGAAACCAACUCCACCUAUUGUGAAAUCACCUCCUUCUCCUCCUUUGGUGAAAACACCACCUUAUCAAUCACCACCUAUAGUGAAGGCACCACCAACUCCUCCACCUAUUGUGAAAACACCUCCUUAUCAAUCACCACCAAUAGUUAAACCACCAGUUGCUCCAUCUCCACCACCUACUCCAAUAGUCAAAUCAUGGAAGGGUAAGUCAAUUUCCAUUUACAUGUCUUUAAUAUGUAACAUUUUAAUAACACAUAAGACUAUGUUCAUGUUUCUAAAUUGUGGUCUCAAUAUAAUAGUUUAGAAUUUAGAACCAUACUUAACCACUAAAAUUUUAGUAUAAAUAUUUAUAUAAAAAGAUAUGAUUAGAUGUUUGGCAUAAAAAAAAUUUGCAAUUUUUUUGGUACUAGAGAGGACCACAUGCCUAACUUAGUAACUCUACUUGUACAUAGUAAUUGAAUUCUAAGACUUGUACAUAUGUCCAAUUUAGUUUACAUUUUUAUUUUAUUUGAAAGAACAUUUUAUUUAUUAUAUAUCAAGUAUCUUAAAUUCACAUAUAUAUUGUGGUAACAUGUUAGUGAAAAGUAGUGAUUAAUCUUGGAUUUUUUAUGUUAAUUAGUGAUUAAUUAUUUUUAUUUUGUGGGCAGAUUGCAUUCCACUAUGUGGUUAUAGGUGCCAAAAACAUUCUAGGCAAAACACAUGCAUAAGAGCAUGCAUGACUUGUUGUGACCGGUGCAAAUGUGUUCCUCCAGGAACUUAUGGUAAUAGAGAAAAAUGUGGCAAGUGUUACACUGAUAUGGUGACUCAUGGCAAUAGACCUAAGUGUCCAUAGAUACAUACAUAUGCACCUAUAUGUAAUGGUUUCUAAGCUUGUGUAAUAGUAAUCAUGCUUAAGUUACUAAUAUGUUGUUAAUCAAUUAUUACAAGUUCAACACUUUUUGUGUUGUCUAUGUAAUAUGAUCCUUGUGGUCCAAGAAUUUUGAAUUUAUAUUGAAAUUAAAUGGUAUUGUUAUGGAAGCAUAUUUUGCUAGUGGAAAUUUAGGAGUACAAUUAUUAUGAUAUCAACAUGACAUUGAUAAAUUUGAUUUUCAUUUCUGGGAAGUAGGAACAUCUUUUUUAUAUUCUUGUUUUGUCCUUAUGAUGGCAUGGAUUGAUCCAUGGGGUCACCUAUAUAAAUUAUGACAUCUACCUUUGUCAGGUUGCCUUCAAUAAAGUCACCCAAUUAAUUGGAAAACAAGUUGUUUUUCACAUCUUUACUUAAAGGUUAAAGGUGUCCUAAAGAUAGGACCUAGUUGGUGCAUUUUACUACACGUUUAGGAGUAUGUAUUUUUGAGAGAUAUUGAUAUUCAUUUUUACAUAAAGGAACAAAUCAGUUGGACAAUGUUGCAUGAUUGAAUGAGCGACAAAAUUGAUAAAAUAGAUUAAUAAAGUGAAAAAUAUGAUAGGUUAAAAGUAAAGGACUCACUCAGUCAAUUAGCCAUGACAAUCAAACUCAUAUAUGUGAGUAUUCGUCCGAACCAAGUCUAAUUUGACAGGUUUUUUCCAUUUUGAAUGAGUUUAAGUAUUGGUUUAGAUUUCCUCAAUUAUUAGACACGGAUACGGGAUGGUUAACAUAAAUAUAGAUACGCAUUCUGAACCCAUAACCCAAAUCCAUCUCGAAUGAAGAAAAUAAGUUUAUUACCCCUUUUAUAUAGAUAGAAACUCAAGCUUUAAAUCAUUUCACUUACAGAGUUAAAGUCUCGGUAUUUUAGAUCACACUCAGUUAUCAUAGUUCUCUCUUUUCUCCUUCCAUAUCUCACACUCUUGGCCUCUCUUUUCUCCUUCACAAAAGCCAUCCGAUGACCAUCAUCUCUUUGCUAGAUAAUGUGUUACAACAUUGCGCUCUCGACUAAAAAAUACUUUUAUUUUUAUUAAAAAAAAUAUCCACUGCGGAGAUUGGGAUGAGACAGGGAUACCCAAAUUCGUCAGAGACGGGGAUAAGAUUCGAUUUCUCAUCUCUGUUGAAUAUGAGUAAGGUAACAUGUAAGUAUAUGAUAGUAGGAUAGGGGAACCGAGAAAAUAAAAUCCGUCCUCAUCUUACCUCAUUCUUAUGCCUACAUUUAAUGAACCUCUAUCUAUUUCCGGACCAACACCCUAAUAGACCGCAUAAAUCACACCCCACAAACAAAUUAUGAAUACUUUCCUAUGAGCCACAGCCACUUACACGUGCAAGAAUUUUGUCGAAUUACUCCUUGCUGAACCAGUAUCACAAGCAUGGAAUUUAUUCCAAACAAAAUUAUCUCCAUCCAGCCCUAAUAUUUGUGGUUUUUUUUGUUCAUCCCUUUUCAAUAUAGCCAAUUGACUUCAUACGAGAAGGUCCAUAGAGUAUAAGAUCAUAUUAUCCGAAAGUUAGAUAAAAUCAUUGUAGUUCAACACACACAAACAUCAUUAAAUACGUAGUAAAUACUUAACUAAUUGUGACUUCGGUGUUAUAUAUUUCUUCUGUCUCUAAUUAUAAGACUAUUAACAAAAUAAAAUUUGUCCAUUAUACAAAUUUUUAGUUGCUUAUAUUACUUUUUUUUCUUCCAAAUAUGAUAGAAAAAUAGAACAGGAAGAAGAGUAAUGGAAUAGGAAAGAUCGGAGAAGGAAGGGAAGUUAGAAAAUCACAUAGGAAGAAAUGCUAACAAGCCCGAAGAAGGAAAGGCAAUCAGGUAGUCAUACACCACAUUAAGUGAAAUAUCAUCUUCACAUUUCAAUUUGAUACACCCUAUAUAUAUAUAUAUAUAUAUAAUAACUGGGCUGAGCUAGUGUGGCAAUAGCCACACCCAACCUUGAAGGGAUCCUCCCCUGCUCAUAAUAUUCUAAUUUCAACCUCGCAAACAAAAUGAGAACCAGUUUAAGCUUUAGAUUGUUGCCUUUCAAAUUAGAUUGUUGCACUCAUAAUAUUUACAUUUUGGCUUAAAUGUUUCUCAUAUUCUAAUUUGAUCACUAAUAGAAUCAGUUUUGGUGAAGCUUAAACAACAUAGCUUUCUCUAGGGCACUCAUACAAAGAAGGUCCAAAAUCACGCUCUAAGGCUCGUGUUAAAUCAAGCCAUGAAUGAAACGGGUGGGACGUUUGCAUCAUUUGGAACCAAGGAUAAGGAGGAACAACCCUCUAAUGAUAAAUCCAAAUGUAUUGUUAAUGUAUGUAUCUUAAUGAUAAAUAGGUACAUACAUUAACAACCCUAGGGCUACAUUGUACUUUAGGGCACUUUCAAUUUGUUUCCUUACAUUUUGUUGCACUCAUAAUAUUGUUAAUCUGGUUCUCAUUCUGCUAAAAAUUUGUUAACUUUUGCACUAUAAUUUCGGACAAUGUACGUAGCCUUAGAUUCUUUCCAAAGCAACAAUCUAAUUUGAAAGUGUCGGACACUAAAUGUAAACAUCUCUUUUAAUCAAAAUUAAAAUCAUGAUUCGUUAUGUUGUGAAAAUCUAGUUCAUUAUGCUAGACCCAACCCCGUUGUUUUCACUAGCAUUUUACAAAACAAACACACCAUUUUUAUUUUGAAAAACAAAAAUAUAACUUUUAAAUGCCUUCUUCAAAAAAAUAUAACUUUUAAAUGAUAUUAAUUUGCUUAAUUUUACACAAUUGAGAACACAAGUAAUCUUACGUUAUUUAUGACUGAAAAAGAUAUAAAUAUUAUCUAAUUAUGCACAUCUAGGUUUCAUAUAUAUAUAUAUAUAUGGACUAAAUUGUCACCUUAUUGUAAUGAUAUAAUUGUCAAUAGUUCAUAUAUAUAUAUAUGGACUAUGUUGUCCGGCUUCUUUUCCUAGGUUUAUUUUAUUUUUGGAACUAAAUUUGUCUCGCAGAACUAAAAUCUGUAUCACUCUUAAAUUAAUUAUUUGUUUAAAAUAUUGUUUUAUAACAAGGUAAAUAAUCAUUUUUAUAUUUGAAUGUGUAACUAGUAGUCAUAAUAUUUUUUCAAUGUAUCGAAAAACUAUAAUAGUAAUUGAUUAUGCAUUCUGUUAGUCAAAAUAAUAUAUGAUGUUAAAAUAUUUCGUUAAUAUUGUCAUAUCAGUCAUUCUAUUUACUUAUUUACAGUCAUAUUAAUCCAUAUAUAAGAAAAGAGUUACCAUCGGGCGUUGAGAGAUUAUAUUCGCUUUAUAAUAACAUAAUCUUUUUCCAUAGAGAAAAAUUAAAAUUACAAAACCACCUUAUUUUACACACAUUAUUAGUAUUAUUAAGAUGAAGAUUUGAUAAACAAAUAAAAUACAAAAAAUUGCUUUUCAUAAAAGAGAGGUAUAAGGUAUUCUUUGGUAAUUUUUAGAGAAGAGUAACUACUUUAUCUACAAAGCAUGGUCUCUUGGACCAAAGUAUUAAUAUGCAUGGGCAGAAUUUCCCUUUUCAUGCAUAUAUUCUCUUAUGUAAGAUGAAUUUCAUGCAGAAACACAAAACUUUCCACUUCUAGCAUUUCAUCACAACAAACCAAUGAGGCCAUAGAUCAUAGAUACAAUGGUGGUUGAUUUAUGAUCAACCACCAUUUUCACUCUAGCCUCCUUCCAUGGGAAGAUCAGGAGGUCGUCGAAAAGGUCGUAGCCGAGGUCAGCACAUCCGUGACAGUGUCCAUGGCGGAAACCCCUCGCCCACCAGUUCUCUACUAGGCACUGAAACGAAAAAAUUACUUCAAAACUCUAUCACUUUUUCAUAUUAUAACUCCUUUGUUACACCUUUUUUCUUGAAAGUUUCACUCUUUAAAAGUAGAAUAAUUACUCUACAGAUUUUAUAGAAAAAACAACAAACUAUAAUGUCUGAUUUCUCAUAUAUGAGAAGUUGUUUUGAUUAUUUGAUUAGGCGCUUUAGAAAAAUAUCUUUGAAAAAGUGUUUUUCUUUAUGGUAAACAAACACAAAACAAUUUUUUUUUAUUUUUUUAUAAACCUCUACAAAUAAUCUUUAAAUUAUUGAGUACUAGGGAAGUUUUUAUGUAUUAAAAAAAAGUAAUCUUGAUGAUCAAUAAUUUAGAGAUGUAUUUCUAUAGAUUUUUAAAAACAACCAGACAUUGUUUUGUGUUUUGUGUUUGUUUAUCAAAAUGAAAAUCACUUUUUGUAAUUUAUUAGUUACAGAAAGUUAAUUUUAAGAGAAGCUAUUCAAAACUGCUUAGCAUUUGAAUCACUUAGUUUAUUUUCUUAUUUUUUUUAAGAAUUUGUAACAACAAAUUGGCGAAAACUUUCAAAAGAUAUUGUUGCUAACAUUACUCUAGUGCAUAUUUACAAUGAUAUCCUUGAACCGUACCACUUGACAUUGCGUAUGAGCCUACUGAACCAAAUUUUUGUAGAGUCUCACACAACUAUAAAAUAUUUAUUGCAAAAAUCGGUUUGUUAAAACCAAAACUGAAACUUGCCCAAAAAAAUAAACCAAAACUGAAACUGAUUUUAAAUAUGCGAAAUGAUAGAUAUAAUCAUAAAAUUUAUCAAGAAAAUUUCAAAACGGUGUAUUUGCUAACACCUUUCCUUAAUUACACACAAUCACCUCCUUUGAUUUCCGCCAAAUAACAAAUUUAAUUGGUUGAGAUUUUUUCUUGAUAAAUUUUUUAUUAAAACUCUCUAGAUAAAUAACAAUGCUCUUUAAAUAUUUAUGAAAGAACCAACAUAAAAUAUUUGCUUCAUGAACCAUAUUAAAGAAGAAGAAAAAAUACAAAUAUCAACCGAUGAAGGUUGGCUCAGUUACAUUGGUUGAUGAAGGUUGGCUCAGUUACAUUGGUUGAAGUCUUAAAGGUAUUAUCACUUACUACUCACGAAUGAUGGCUACUUGAUGCACGAAUUAUGUUAUAUUAAUUAACCACCACUUUUUUUAGCUCAAUGUAUCACUUACUAUUUUGGUCCUCUCCCUUAGUAUUUAACCUUAAAUAUCUAAGGUGAACCACCUUUAUAGGUGGUUCACCAUAGAUCUCAUAAAUCUUUCUAAUUCUAACCAUUUGAUUUUUUUGUCAAAAAUGAAACCAUUUGAUUUUGAAGGUCUAUUGAAAUUAAUAGUAAAUCACUAGCACCUAAUUUAUUUAUCUUUUCUUCAUCUUCUUCCUCUUCUCUUCCUUCUCUUUUUCAUCACUUUCAUCAUUAUCUUCAUCAACUCCAUCAAACAAACCUAGAAAAAUAAUUCCCAAAAAAUGGAUUUAUAAAAAACUCUUAAUCAUCAACCUAAUUACUUCUAAAAAAAACCUCUAUUUCUUGAUCUUUAUCCCUAAAUUCUAAGAACCCAUAAAUUUUUUAGCACGGCACAUAAUAUAGAGGGAGCAACAUUUUCAACAUUAGUCCCUAUAUAGUUUCCAUUACUAGCCUUGAUAUAGUUUCCUUAUUUUCAAGUUUUCCGUUCUUGUGAGACUCUCUCUUGUAUAUUAAUAUGUUUAACCUCAUUGUGAAAUAUUAAGUUGAUCAUUCUUUAUUAUGUAAGUUGGUACCAGAGCUCUCUGGUUUCGUACCUUCAUCUAUUUUGAUUUUGAUGUUUCAAUCGUCGUGAGUGGUGACCUUUUGUUGAUAACAAUAGCAUUACUUGUCAAUAUGUUACAAGAGAAUAUAUAAUAAUACUCAAUGAACUACUAACUUAAAAACGUAAAAGUCCAAUAGCUUAAGUCCGAUAGGUUUAUUAUCUAACACACCUAUCCUCAAAGUCAUUAUUUAUUAACAAGAAGCAUUAUGAGUUUGUCAAACAAAAUAUGAAAAACAUUGCACAAUAAUAUAAACUCCUAAUAUUACCCUUCAAGUUGAAGCUUACUAAGCUUUAAGCUUGUUACAAAUUAACAGAGAGGUGUAGUAGCCAGAAUGAUGAACCAUCUGAGAGAAAAGCAACGAUCAGUCAAUCAAAUAGAGAGAACCAACCGAGAGAAGAUCCCUAUUAAACCAAGUCAAUCCAUACCAAAUCGAAGAAGAAGCAAUCAAACAUAAAGAAUAAAAAAAUGGAAAGAAGAUAAUAAACUAACUAACUCCAAUUGAAUCUAAGCUUUAUUUGAGAGUAAUUAUAAAGAAGCUAAUAAGUUGAUGUCGUUAAUUGUAAACCUAAAUGUAAGAAACUUACCAAUUUAAUAAAAAAAAAUCAUGAAUUGUUUAAGAUUAUGGUAAAGGUUUCAUCUGAAAAGUUUCUCAAACACAAAAUCUUUUAUGUGUACAUGGUAAGACCAAGGAGAAAAUUGAGAUUGUUACUAUUGAUGACAUAAAACCUGACUGGAAAGUUGGGACAAAGAUUACUUCUCAGAGAUGAGUGAUGAGAAGUCUGACAUAAUUCGAGCAAACAUUGUAUUUGUGAUUGCUGAGAAACCACAUGCUCUUUAUACUAUGAAUGAAAAUGAUAUUUUGAUUGAACAAAAGAUAACUCAUGCGGAAGCUCUGAAAGUACGAUAUUGAAAAUUCAAACCUUGAUUAAGGGCAUUCCUUCGCCGGGGAGUUUGUGCUCAUAGCCAAGAGUGACUUUACUUGACAAUGUGACCAGAAGACUCCUUCCACCUAAAGGUUGGAAUUUCAAUAUCGUACCUUUUAGAGCAUCCAUGUGAGUUAUCUUUUGUUCAAUCAAAAUAUCAUUUCAAUUCCUAGUAUAAAGAGUGUGUGGUUUCUCAGCAAUCACAAAUAUAAUGUCUGCUGGAAUUAUGUCAGGCUUCUCAGAGAUGAGUGAUGAGAAGCCUGACAUGCAUUCAACAGACAUUUGUGAUUGCUGAGAAACCACAUGCUCUUUAUACUACGAAUGAAUAUGAUAUUUUGAUUGAACAAAAGAUAACUCAUGUGGAAGCUCUGAAAGUACAACAUUGAAAAUUGAAACCUUGGAUGGAAGGAGUCUCUCAGUCACAUUGUCAAGUAGAGUCACUCUUCGCUAUGAGCACAAAAUCCCCAACAAAGAAAUGCCCUUAACCAAGGUACCAGGGAGGAAGAACACUUUAAAAAUUACUAUUAAUUAGUAACAUUUUAGGGUCGAAACACGCCUUUUUUUAUAUAAAAAAACAAAGAAACAAAAAAAAACACAAUUAAAAUUUACAAACAACAAAAAGUGUUAAACUAUAAUGAACUGGAAAAAUUAUAUAUAUUACUCGGUGCUAGAAAAAUUGAAAAAUCAAGUUUCAUAUAUUUUUAUUGCAUGACGUUCUACAAAUUUUCCCUAAAGAAAAAUUAUAUCAGGAACAAUAUAAUAUAUGAAAAGAAAAAAAUUCUGAUAAAAUCAAACACCUUUACAAAUAGUAAGGGAAAUUGAGGUCUAUAAUUUUUUAAUAUUAAUACAUAAUAAGCACUCGAUUCCUCCAACUCAAUAUUUCACACAAAUAUUUUAAACGAGACCCAUUAAUUAUCUAUCAAUAACUCUAUAUCAUUACAUUUUAAUAUUUUAAUCUUUAAAAGAAGUGGGACCUGCAGACAGAGAGAUGGUACCUAUUUGAGACCUUGUGCAAAAUUAUGUUUCUCCAAUAGGGGUAUCUAACAGACACCAAGUCUUAAAGUCAAGGGACUCUCCCAUCGGAGAAGGUCUAACUCGAAUAAUUUUUUUGAGAAAUGGUCUUUAGAAAUUUAAAAUCAAAGCAAGGGUCAUGACCUAUACACUACUAUAAGUGUGGGUCCGUCCCUGAUUGACUCCACUUGUGUACCAUUAAGAUGGAAUGAUGUUGAUACUGAUACUAGUCAAUCUAAUUGUGAUACAUAAAUCAAUUCAACUAUUUUUUUUCUAUCUCUUUUACAUAUUUUUGUGUUUAAAAAAUUGUAUCUUCACGUAUCACAUUUGAAUCGACCAAUGUCAUGUGACACUAUCACUCAAGUGCAAUCCGGCCAGAAGCAUGUUAAAUCAGAAAAAUAUGGCUCAAAAGUUCUGGAGAAAAGUCGUCACCGCAACUGCUUAUAUUCUAAACAAAUGUAUUACCGAGAAGCUAAAAUUAAAGGUACCCGAGGAAGCAUAGAGUGGAAGAAAAUCAAGUGUGAAGCAUCUAAGGGUGUUUGGGUUAGUGUGUUUCAAGGAGAUACCUGAUGCUAGGAGGAUGUUAGAAGAUAAAAGUGAAAGCAUGGAGCUCAUAUGGUAUCAUUCAACUGGUGUCUAUAUGUUGUAUAUAAGGCUAGUCAUACCAUUGAAAGAAAUUGGAGUAGAAACCAACUCUUGCAAGUAAAAUGCCCAUUGAAAUUAGGCUUGUGAUACCAUAGCUGGUUAUUCCUAAUAAUGUGUUUUGCCAAAGCACUUAAUGUUGAAUGAGGCCACCCAAGAUUUAAUUAUCAUACCUAAUAUAGUACUCACAAAUUUUGUGACAAUUUGAUAUUUAAAACAGAAUUGACAAAAUGGUGGUCGUCUGCAAGUAGUGGCAUAUUUAAAUUGACAAAAUUGUAAGCAACAUUUAACAUUUUAGCCCCCAAUAUGCUAAAUUGUUGUGUAGAUGCCAAUAGUUUGAGAAGAUGAUCCUUAAUCAUCUAAACGCUCUUCUUCAACUUGACCAACUACAAAAGUUAAGAUAAAAUGUAUUAAAAUUUAUGUUCCCUUUACGAAAUACAUAUAUGAAAAUAAAAUUUUAGGCAAAUUAAAUAACAAGUUUUUAUACAAAAUUUCUUUAAAAAUUAUCUAAUUAUAUAUAUCUAUUGAAAUAGAAAAUGAAACACAAACCAAAUAUACAUUUUGGUUUUAAAGAAGUUUUGGUCACAAGUCAAUAUCACUCUCAUUUACUACAAUAUCAAAUAAUCAAACAUUAAUUGAAACCUAUAGGGAACUGAGGAAAGUCUCGAGGUCUAACCAUUGAGAUGGAUGGCGUAGUUUGCAAUAUCAGAAGCUCCUUUGUUGUGUUCCUUAAACAGUAGAAAAAUACAUGUUAUUUGUAGAGGUUGAGGUAAAAACAUAAGUUGUAAUCCAAAUUGGUGCUAGUGAUAUUUGAUUGUAUAAUAUGUCUACUGAAUGCAUGGAAAAAUUGUUUACAUUUUUUGUCAGAAGUUGAAUAAUGCAAUGUUGGUAUAAUAUCUCAGAAUCCCUAGAAACACAAAUUGGAAAAAGUCUAGCGGCGCAGCUUGUUACCUGCUUGCCUUCUAUUCAAUUGUAAAUAAUGGUUUAUAAUAUAUCAAAUAUCUAUUACACCAUUAUUUUACAAUAAUAAAAUAGAAAACAAUCUUAUCAAGCAAAUUAUGCCUUAAUCUACAUAAAUGGUUAACCAUAACUUUCUCAUUAAGCAGCAAAAAGUUAAGGCAUGUUCAGCCUAAUAUGGUGCUGUUUCAAAUGGAUUUGGCAGAAUUCGAAUUCAAGGUGGAACCACUAUUUCUUCAAAUUAUACUAUUAUUCAAGCAAUUGAAUCACAUGACUUCUGUGCAGACAAGCAUGAAAAUUUAAAGAUAACAUUUGAAAAAGUAUGAUCAAAAUGAUCCUCAAAUUGCAAUUCAAUUACGUACCGAAGGAAUGUAAUGGAUGGAGAAUGAGUCAAAGUUAUUCCUCAACUUCAUAGCCUCAAGACAUAACUUCCUUAAAUUCCCAUCAGCCGUUUGCCAUGGCUCCCCAAACUGUUGCAAAGCAAUAACAUAUGCGCCUAAAUUGUUUAAAAAAGAAAAAUGCAUAAAAGAUAAAAAGGUAAUAUGAACUAAAUGAAUCCAAAGGAGCCUAUCUUUAUUGGGAAGGGGAUAGGUUCUUUAGGUAGCUGUUAAUGUAGAAAUUGUAUAAUUACUUAAUGCAUUCAAGGAUAGGUUGAGUGAUUAUAAUUACGAUCCAUCAUAAAGUCAUUCAAGAACAUCUCAAGAAAUCAUCAAUGAAAAUGGGGAUGUCGGCAAACACACUAGAAGGAGGUACGUAAAAAAUGGCCAAGGGUAUGUGGCGCAUGGCGCCUUACGCACUGGAAAGGUGUCACACAUGUGGAGGCACGUAUGACAAGAUAUGGGCUCCAAAAUUUGGCAGCAAGCAGAUUGGCGAUGUCUAAGGCUGAGCAUGUGUAUCCCCUGCGGAGGCUGCGGUGAUGGACUUACGAGUACUCUAACAGAGUUUUAAACAACAAUAGGUCACCAAUUACGGCUGCUGAGACCCUAAAAUCAAAAUAGACGAAGGGACCAGACCAAAGAGUUUUCGUACCAACUUAAAUAAUAUUGAAUGAUCAACUUAUAUUUCAUAAUGAGCUUAUUCAUAUUUCAUGUACAAGAGAGAAUUUCUCAAGAAAGGAAAAAUAGAAAAUAAGGGAACUAUAUCAAUUGCUAAAAAAUAGAGAACAAUCAACACUGUAAUAAAACAAACCUGAUUUGUAACAAACUUGGAUUCUCCUUUGACCGUAAUGUUCUUAAAUCCUUUCAUGAUCGCUUGUUUCAGACCUAAAAUCAAUGCUCGAUACUCAGCCUCCUUUUGUGUUAGAUUCCCCAAUCCUUCGCGAAAUCCAUAGAACUACAAAGAAACAUAAGCAUUGCCUACAUUUUAUAAAUAAUUAAAUAAUAUAAAAUCCAAAUGAAUUGUUGCAUAAAGUAGAUACCAGACUCCCAUCUUCAGAUAGCAGUAAAGCUCCUGCACCAGCAGCUAGUCCAGAUAUCCCUAUUGAUAUACCAUGAAAUGCAAUGGUACAAGAAAGCUGCAAAUAUUACUUUUUUAGUGUAUUAUCUCAUAGAUAAAAAAUAUUGCGAUAGUAAAACUUUAGAGUUAAAUAUGAUUGUUAAGACUUUAUAGAGGAUUUCAAUUUGCCAGAAUUUUAUAUUGCAUAAACUAUAUAUGCAAAAGAUUUUGAAAAAUGAAGAAAACCAAGUAUUAACUAGACAUAAGUUUUCCUUUCAAAAAAAAAAAACUAGACAUAAGAUUUAUCUCCUUGUAAUUUAAUAAACUUGUAAAGACAGAAAAAAUUUAAUGUCAGAAUAGUCCGCAAUGUGAGGUCCCAAGGUUUGAGCCUGGAUGUGCACUGUCAACUGCUGAACCAUACAUUCCGAAGACAGUUUGGCCAUUUCCCACAAGCACAUUGAAGCAUGGUGCUGGUUCAAUAAUCACUUACGAAAUUUAGAACCUCUAGGCUGUAGAAAGCUAUAAGAGCUUCCACCAUCUACUAGCUAGCACUUUCAGGGCGACUGUGCUGUGCCAAUAUGUCCAGUAACACGUAUAAAAAGCUUAUUUCUGACUGCAUCUUUAUAUAGAACCAGAAUACUGACUAACUCUCCUGAAUUCUAGGAUUUAUGCAUUCCUGGCCUUAUCUCAAAAAUUAUACUAAUAGAAGAAAAUACCGAAAAUCCUAAUUAGUGUUAUUCUCAGGGUUGUGUUACAUUUGCUGAACCAUGAUUCAAUGCACUAUGUAAAGCUUGAUUUAAUAGUAAAUGCAAUAACAAUUUUAUUUUAUAGAGCCGUAAACUACCCGCAGCAUCAUUGAUCACUAAUAGAACCAGUUUUGGUGAAGCUUAAACAACAUAGCUUUCUCUAAGGCACUCAUACACAGAAGGUCCAAAAUCACGCUCUAAGGCUCGUGUUAAAUCAAGCCAUGAAUGAAACGGGUGGGACGUUUGCAUCAUUUGGAACCAAGGACAAGGAGGAACAACCCUCUAAAUCCAAAUGCAAUUGUUAAUGUAUGCAUCUAUCUAUCUAUUACAUCAAAUUGAACAUAACCAAUUUGGUCGUCAUAGUUUUCCAGAAAUUUGAUAACAAAGAAUGGACAAUGCAGUUUUUUGGGGGCAUUGUGUGUGAUACUGUGUAUUUUCUUUCCUUUUUGAAACAUCUCUUAUAUUUUGAACUGUAAUAUGUCUUAUAAAUUCAAUGCUUGUGUAAAAUCGCCUCGUCUAAAAAUCAAUCAAAUUCAUAAAAUUUUAGAAAUCAUCAAGUUUAACAUAUCUCACCGACUGUUUGGUUGAGUUGAUCACAGUAGCAUGGGAUGACUCUUGAAACGGCGUGUUCCCUUGCUGAAGUGUCUCAAAGGCCUUCGUAAGUCGAUCUAUCUCGGCUAGGACUUCUAAGUGGUUUUUUGCCACUGUUUCAGUGAUGCGAUUCAAUCCAGCUUCUAGUUCUGUGAUUCUGGUGUCGUUGUCUGCCGUCAUGGUGAGACUGAGACCAAACUGUAAUGAGCAGAAGAAAUGAAUAAAUCAAUAAAAAAAAAAAAAAAAAAGUCCUGCCAAUUUUUCUAUGUGUGUGUUUUCAAAUAAGCGAUGAUUGAUUUAUUCUAACUUAAAAAACGUAUUAGUGUCAUCAUGCAUGCAUAAUAGAACACCUGGUUUCCAGUUUACACAAAUCGUGAUCUUUCACAAGUACGGCCAACUACGUUUAUGUCUCCUAGUUCUAGUUCUGUCCUAUUUAACUGAAUGGAAUUAGGGUUUACGGCUAUGUAUAUCUUAGGGAUUUUGAUCACUUGUGUAAAUUGAGAAAAUCAAGAGCACAAACUCGUAAUUUUUUACAAUGUAUCUAUAAUAUCUAACAAAUUUCAUGGUACACCCAACAUUUUGAAUUUACAGGUACACCAAACAUUAAAUUAAUAAUUAAAUGGAUUGUUUUUUGAAGAAAAAAUAAUUAUUUUCUAUCAUUGAUAAUUAUAAUAAUUAAGGUGAAUUCUAGGGUGAGGGUCCAAUUAGGUCCCUCACCGGUGGACCACGAGAAAAAUACCAAUAAAUUAAAUAGAUGGUUGAGAUUUAUUCAAAUUAAAAGUGAAACAUGUACAACUACUCACAUUUGGAUAAGUGUUAACUAUUUUUGUAAACAAACUAACAGAGAGGACCAAAAGAGGUAACGACAGAAGACAUAAGGGACUAAAUUGAGACACUUUAUAGUUAGGGGACCAAAAUAAAAUCCAAAAAUAAAUUAAGGGACCAAAACAUGUAUUAAGCCUUGAAACUAUUAUUAACGAAUAAAUUUAGCAAUUUUAUAAAAUUAUUCUAUUAACUAUUUUUUAUGUUAGCUCUCCGGUUAUUAGGGUUCUCACAAGAAAUCAAAUUCAAGUUUUUUCAAAUGAUUCAUCCUGGUAUUUUAGCAUAACCAACUAUUUCCAAUUCAAAGCAUAAAAAUCUCUCGAAAAAGCCAUGUAUUAGUGAGAAUUGAAUGUUUUUGCUCUGAUUAAAUGUAAUCUUGCUUGCGCAGCAAAUUCAUGUCCAAGUUCUUCAUAAAAUCCUUCUAAAAGUUUCAGACUUAUCUCUCUACAUGGAUUCAUUGACAUAUAACAAAAAAAUGGUUACUUAUGUUAAAGGAAUCCGGUAUAAAAUUGAAAAAUCAUAGAAGAAAAUAAUGUACUUAUUGCAUAAUCCUAAUAACUCGAAAAUAUAUAAAGGCAAAAUGUGUUAAAUCAACAUUGAAUACAUUAAAACCAAAUUGAACUAGAGGGUCACAACCUCUUUAACUAAGCCAUACCUUGAUUGAAAUAUAACCAUUGUUAGGAGCUUUUGUCAAAGGACAUUGCAUGAGUUCUAUCAUGGAUCUAAUGUAUGGUCCAAUUCUAAUAGCAUAGUAUAUAGAUUAAGGGCAACACAUACUCUUAUGAGAAACUAGCUAUACAAGUUUGGCAGACACUAUAUUAAGAGGCACAAUGGUGUAACUUGUAUACGCCUAAACAAUUUAUUCUUGUACUUUGUACAUUACAUUAUUGAUUUAAUUUACCUAACAUUUUUUUCUCCUACCCAACUUGACCUCUAUAUAUACAAGGUCCAAUAUUUGUUUCAAGUAACACUCACAGAUUGCUCUAUAUAUAUAAAAGAAAAUGGCCUCCAAAUCCAUUCUUCUAUGCAUUUUUCUUAUGGUGGCCACCAAUGUAUAAUCUUUAUUCUAUUCUUCACUUUCUUGAUUAAGUGUUUUUCACUUGAACAUACAAAAUAUUCCUUUUGAUUAAGUGUUUAAUUUAGCCUGAAUGUAAUGCCUUUAUUAAAUUUUUAAUAUAAUAUAUUCUGGUGUGCAGGUUUUCUCGUUUGAUGAAGAUUUUAAAAAGGUCUCUUAUAACUUAAUCAAAAUCUCUAGUUAUUUUUCAUUUUGAUUUUAUUACUCUGCGUGGAAUAUAAAAAAAAAAAAAAUGAUUUCACGAAGUAAAUUUGAUCUAAUUAAGUAGACUUUUUUUUUUUUUAAGGAAAUUAAGUAGACUUAUAUUUGCAUGAAUUUGAUAUAAUUACACCACAAUUUGAGCAAAAAUUAUACUUAAAUUUUAACAAAAUUACUAAAUGACAAUGAUUUUGCUAAAGUCAUUAUCAAUUUAAGCAUUAACAUAAUGUUAGAUGGUAGCAUAUUAUUUUGUUAAAAAGAAGUUUGAAAAAUUAAAAUAUUUGGUGCAGGUGAACUAUGUAAAACCUUCAGCUCCUACUGUUGUAAUUCCAAUAAUAACCGUUCCACCUUCUCAACCAGCCAAAACACCAGCUUCUUCACCAGCUCCACCACCAACUUCAAAGACCAAGCCAACUCCAAUAGUCAAAUCAUGGAAGGGUAAUUAAGUUUUAAGAACUAAAAAUAUUUUACCUUUUCAAUUUUUUUUUUCUUUCAUUAUGCCAGUGAGAUGCUAUGAAACAGAAACACUCUUCGGAUUAUGAGAGUCCUAGUGUUGGGUAUGUAACACUAUCAUGUCCGACACCAACACGAUAUUGAUAUGUAUAGUUACAUUGAAUUAUGUCAUUUUCUCAAAUUAUUAUCAAUGUCGAUGUAUUUGUGUUGUAUUUGGUGUCCGUGUCAUGUGUUUCGUACGUCAGAUGUGAUGAAAUUAAUGAUUAUUGGAAAAACAAAUUUAGACAUGAUUAUUAACUGAUACUUUGUAUAAUUAUUUUGUGGGCAGAUUGCAUUCCACUAUGUAUUUAUAGGUGCAAACUACAUUUGAGGAAGAUGGUAUGUAUAACAGCAUGCAUGACAUGUUGUGAUCGCUGCAAAUGUGUCCCUCUUGAUCAAACUUAUGGUAACAGGGAUAAAUGUGGCAAAUGCUAUACUGAUAUGCUAACUCACCAUGACAAAGUCAAGUGUCCAUAGAUACACACAGAGUUAUAUAUCAAGUAGUUCCUAUAAGUUUAAUUGUGUUGAAUUUUUAUAAGGUUUAUAGUUACUGGUUUACUAAAUAAAUUAUUGAUCAGCAUUACAUUAUGUAAGUUACACUUAUACUAUGAUGUUGAUAAAUUGUUACUAGUUCGACACACGAGUUUGUGUUGUCUAUGUAAUAUGAUCCCAGAAUUAUAAAUUUAUAAUGAAAUUAAAUGGCAUUGACAUGGAAGUAGUAUAUAUAUUGUUGUUGGAAAUUCAGGACUAUAAUUAAUAUGAAUAUUGAUAAAUUUGAUUCUGAUUUGAUAAAUUCUAAUAUGGUCAUAUGAUCAAAGAAAAAGUGUUUGGUCACACAUAAUGAAUUAUUGUUUUAAUAAUAAUGAGGAAAUUGAUAAAAAUAGAUGAUUGAAUAUUUUGAGAAAAAUCUUUUUAUGUGGGUGUCCAAACGUUAUUGAUAUGAUCUUGUGACCAUGGAAGAAUAACUCUUAUCAGUUUGCCUUCAAUAAAGUUCACUCAAUCAAUUGUUGGACAACACUUUUUUCUUUCUUUCAAAUGUUGACCUAGGUAAUGCAAUAUAUUAGGACUUACUAAUUUCACUUAGAUGACUUUUGGUGUAUUAAAGAAAAAGAAUAUCAAACUUGAAUUAUGAACGACUUAAGAGAGUAAGCCAUACGAACCUUUUCGUGUACUUCAUAACAAAUACUCCGUCCGUCCCUUAAUAAGUGACCUGUUUGAAAAUGUACAAUUUUGACCUAACUUACUUUGAUCAUAUUUUUCUACUAAUAUACAAAGAUAAAUAAUAUCAUAUAAGAUGUCGUUAGAUUCGUCUCGAUGAGUAUUUUCAAAAUAUCAAAUUUUCAUAAUUUUUUCCAAUAUAUUAUUCAAGAUAUUUAAACUCAAAAUUACGCAUUGGUAUACGUAAUUGGGUCAACUGUGUCAUUUAUUAAGAGACGGAGGGAGUAACCACUAAAGAAAAAAAAACUAUAAAAGAAGUGAUAGAUAUUAAGAAAGUGGAUUGAGUCAUUGUAAAAAAUAUCAUUUUUCCUGUUAUGCCCUUGUCUUGGAAACAUGACUUUUGAACUCCACCAAUGAAAAAUCUUUGGAAUGCAUUAAACAUGGGAAUGUGAAACAAAUUGGAUAAAGUAAAUGAGGUUAAAAUUGGAAUAGUAACAUUUAAUAGGAUGACUUUUGUAUACUUUUGCUUACAUUUGAGACCAACAAUUUUUUUGUUUUGUUUCUUACAUUCGAGAUCGGAGGGAGUAUAGUUCAUAUAUCACAAUUACUCCAAUUUUUGAAGCAACCUUCUUCCAAUAAUCUAGUGGCAUUUAGUACAUAUAAAUUGAAUGAGUUUUUCUUCUCAAUUAUACAUAUAGCUACAAAAGGGGUUAAGAUCCUCUCCAUUUAUAAAUUUUUCCAUUUGUUGCAAUUUGGAGAGAGAUAGACACAAAAAAUAAGUGGUGGGUCCCAUCAUUAGGUGGGUUCCACCAUCAUUAAUUAUUUUUUACUUUUUAUGUGUCUUUAUCUCUCUAAAUGGAGGAAAUGGAGAGGGAAAUAAAUGGAGAAGAUUUUGACUCCUACAAAAGUAUCUUUAUGAUGAAGUGUUCCACACAACCUUGGUUCCCAUAAUAGUAACAUUAAAAUUUCAGCGACAACACUUUGAUCCAGCACUGUAUCAAAAGAAAAGCAUUUCAUAUAUGCCUUUCUCAAAUAUAAGACAAAGAUAGCAAUGGGAAAACAGAUAAAAGGAGAAAAGUCUUACUAAAUUCGUGUAUGAGUCUAUACUUGGUGAGAAAAGUCAUCACGACUACACCUCUAAAAAAAUAAAAAUUAGACAAAAGGGAGUAAAUGGAGGACCAAAUGUUAACCUUAGAUUAAAUAGACAGGUACGAUCGAUUAGGGCAUGUAAACCUGACAAAGUGAACACAAAAAACAUAAAACACAAAAUCAACUCAAAGGGUGAACCUGCAUAUGGACAAAAAACAACAAGCGCACAAACACACACCAUCAACACAAUGUAAUGAACCCACGUACAAAUCCGAAGUCAAAUUGCAAAAAAUAGUGAUGUAGGAGCAUACAUGAGCAAGAAGGAUGAAUUUAUACGAACUCAACCCUUUUCAUAAAUGGUGGACGAUGAACCUGAUGGUCAACACGAUAACAAAUCCACAAUCAACAACUCACUGUGAUUUCAACGACAACAAGCCAACACAUCCAUUUCUAACCAAACAUAUGAAUCCUCCGACACGUGAACUAUGCUCGAAUCAACACAAACAACAUGCUUAUCACUAUGAAACUAGAACUUGCACCACCACGAAACCAUUGCGCAUUACGAAGAGGCCAGGAGACAGGACAAACCAGAUCUAAAAACGAAAUUGAUACAUAAAACCGAAGCGGAUAUGAAUAAGCCUUACUUUUAAGAAAUAUUUUCACAUCUUUAUUUCUUCCAAAUCUUAAUGGGAACCCCGUCCCCAAUUUUAAGGGUUCGUCAAUGGUCCUCUCUAAAUGACCUUCCAUAGCAGGUAUAAAACAAAAAUUGUUUCAUGACCCCACACAACAAAAAAAAUCGUUUUUAAAGUGCAGUCACAAAGAUUACUUAUGCGCCCCUCCAUAUAGAACCAAAGUAUCUAGGUACAAAAUCAUUUCAGCUAGAUUCCUUCUUCUUUUUCUAAAGUAUAUAUACAACCUGAUUCCUUCUACACGAACUAGUAAUGAGCGUCCAGUCAAAAAUAAAAAAUCUAAUAGACAAGCUAAUGGGACUCAUAUUGGAUGUUAUCUUUUUUUUUUUUUUUUAAAACUCGGUAUCCGAUCCAAUUGGAUCUUAUCUUAUUUUGGUUUAUCACCUUCUUUUUUUUUUUUCCAGUGACAAUAGUUUAUAAUUCACCGUGAAAAUGAUUUUGAAAUACAACAUUUAAACAUAGGGCUUGGGUGAUUUGUCUUUAAGGGAACUGAUUUCCCUCAUGAAAAAAAAGUCCAUGUGAAAUUUUCCGUCGCCACUUUUAGUCCUUGAAAAACUUUCCAUCAGCAUUUUUAGUCCUUGUAAAAAAUAUCCAUCAAACAUUUUUUGUCUAUAAAAUGCUAAAAGAAAAUGUCACAAGGUCUAAAAAGUAUGAUUUUAUUUUGUAUAUUAAAAACAAAAUUUUGAUUAUUUGUAGGAAUCAUUUACUUGAUUAAUCCUGACCUUCAUUCAUUACCUCAAAAAAAUAACCCCUAAAAUAAAAUUUUCAUUAACGUAUCUUAACUUUAUCCAAUUUGAUUUAAAAAAAAUAUUGCGUACUUAAAAAAAACAAAAAAUUGCGUAUUAUCACACCCCACACUACUUUUUUUUUUUUCAAGAAUCAUAACAGCACUGCUUAUCCAUGCAUCAUAUACAAAAUUUAAAUUGUCGUAUCUGGAUGUAGUCACUAAAAUCAAUGUGUAGUGUCUAUAAGUUGAAGGUAAAAUUAAUGUAGUUCAACUUUACAAAAAAAAAAAAAAAAUCAUAUAACAUCAUCAAAUAAGUUGUUGAUACUCAUCAAAUAACUUUUUGUUAUGCCAUUGUUAUUAUUGAAAACCCUAGCCGCUUUCCUUUGUUAUUUUCUCUGAAACACUAUAUUGUUAACACUAAUAACUCAAAACUAUAUAAAGCCAAAAUAAGUGUUUUAAGCAUAGGUUUCUACCAUAUCAGGGUUUGCAUAUUUUGUCUUAAACCAAAUUGAACUAGAUGAUCACAACCUCUUUAACUAGGCCAUUCAUACCUUGAUCGAAAUAGAGCCAUAUUAGUUAGGUGUCUUUGUCAAAGGACACGACGUAUGGGUCAUAAAGUUCUAACAUGGAUCUAAUGUAUGGUCCAAUUCUAAUAGCAUAUAGUAUAUAGAUUUGUGGCUACACAUACUCUCGUGAGAAACUAUGUUAAAAGGCACGUAGGUAGAAGCUGUAUACAUACACCUAAACAAUUUACUCUUGUUAAUUUAAUGUAGGUAACCUUUUUUCUUCUCUCCCUCAACCUUAACGUCUAUAUAAUACAAUACAAGGUCUAGUAAUUGCUUCAAGUAACAUUCACUAGAUUGCUCUUGACUCUUCUUUCACACUUUCUUGUCCAUGCUCCAAAAAAUGGCUUCCAAAUCCAUUCUUCUUCUAGGCAUUUUUCUUAUGGUGGCCACUAAGGUAUAAUUAUUGUUCUAAUUUUCACUUGAACAUACCAAAUAUUUUUUAACUACGUGUUAUAAUACCUUUAUUUUUAAUAUAAUAUAUCUUGAUGUGCAGGUUUUUCCGUAUAAUGAAGAUCUCAAAAUAGUGGUAUGUCUUUCACGUAAAUGGAUUCCAAUUGAUCGACCAUUCUAUGCCAUCGCAAUGUUUGCAGCCAUCCAAUCUUGAUAGGAUGGUCUAAAAGCGACAUAUUUAAUUUUCAUUAAUAAUUUUAAAAAACCCUACUUAAAUUAUAAGUGUUGGAUCUUGAUCGGACGAUAACCAAAUCUUAAUUGCAUGAACUUUUUACGUAAAAUUAUACCUAGUGUGUUUUUCACUGUACAUAAUUUGCCUUUCUAUUUUUGUUUGAUCCCCUUAAAACAUCCAUACUGGAAAGUUAUUUCAUAAAUUAUAAGUAGUUUUGUUUUGUAUAAUAGAUUAAAUAUUAGGUUUAAUUUUAGUUUUGGUCUCUCUAUUUUUACUAUUUUACGAAAUUCUCCUCUUUGAGAAAUGUGGUCCCUCGAUGAAAUAUUUAGGCUAAAAUAUGAUGAUAUGAUAUGUUUUAAAUGAAGUUCUUUUUAAAAAUUUAUUACAAUUUCAUUGAGGUUGAUACAUUCACAUAAACAAAUCAUAUAUCACAUCUUUGAAAAUAUAUCACAUCACCAAUUUUUAAACUCUACACGGAAAAUGAGUUAUUUACAUACCUUCGAUUGCAUUAUUUCAACACAUUAUUAUUUCUUUUCAUUACUCUACAUGGAAUGUACAUUGAUAUUUUACCUACCUUCACUCCUUUUUUACAUUUAGAAAUUUUACUCCUACAUUUACCUCACCUUUGCUAACAAACAAAGACAAUAUAAGAACAUAUAAUAUGUUAAAUCCAUCAAGCUAUAGUCACAUAAAUAAAUAUGUCAAAGCUAUGAGUACUCUAAUUAAUUCACAUGAAUUUAAUAACCACAAUUCUGGUAAAAACUACACUUUAGAAUUUCAAUAAAAUCAUUGAAUCAUUGUGAUUUUGCGUCAAUUCAAGCAUUCAAAGAAUGUUAGAUGGUAGCAUUUUUCUUGUUAAAAAGAAAUUUCAUAAAUUAGAAAUAUGGCAUAUAAUUGGUGCAGGUGAACAAUGCAAAUCCUUCAGUUGCUUCUGUUGCAGCUCAACUAGUAAAACAACCACCAAGUCUUGUAGUGAUCACAGCUCCAACACCUCCUUCUCC
rnacentral:lncRNA from 1 species